UCAUACUAGCCGGGGAGUUAGCGGUGCCCUAUAUCUACAACCCGCUUUAGUAGAGGUGAUGUCGAGCCUGAGGAUAGUUUCAGUGCCAAAGCCUCAGACUAAAAAUGUUGAGAAGACAGUCCUGUAUUGUAGAGAGUCGGUGAACCGUGUCAGGUUGGGAACGAAGCAGCACUAAAUCGAUUUCUUUAGGUUUACAGGGUCGCUGUUUUUGAGUUUUUAAUCUGAGAAACCGGCGGUGAGAUUUUUUCAAAGGUUCGGCGUAUGA
rnacentral:SRP_RNA from 1 species